AUGCACCCACAAUUUAUCUGCUGGAAUGUUAGGGGCCUUAACAAUCCAGCUAAGCGUAAGGCCGUUCGGGAUUUUGUUAGCAUGGUGAAGGUGAACUUGGCGUGUCUGCAGGAGAUAAAACAUGAUGUAACUCAUCACUUUGUCGUAAUGCAAUGUUUGGGGCCAUCUUUUGAUGGCUAUGCUUAUGUGCCAGUGAUUGACAUACGGGGUGGGAUUCUGCUGGUAUGGGACAACACGGUUCUAACGUUGGAUAAUGUACAUCUCAACGGUAACUUCCUCAUAGGGAUGCUGCACAGAAAAGUUGGGCAACCCUGGUGGAUCAUGGUGGUAUAUGGGCCAUAA
rnacentral:rRNA from 1 species